UUCUCUCAUCGGAAAUCAAUUAACGGGUUCAAUACCAGUGGAGAUUGCAAACAUAACUACUCUCCAAGACUUGCAGUUAUGGAACAAUCAACUGUCUGGAAUUCUUUCUCUUGAGCUUGGAUAUCUAACACAAAUUCGAAGACUGUAAGAACUUGAUUUCCCCCCCUGAAAUAUGAAAGCUCAAUGUUUAAAAUACACUUUAAUUUCCACUGCUAAGAAUCAUAUUUUACUGCUUUGUUUUUCAAUUAUAUAUAUAGGCAAAUUUCAUCUAACAAUUUUACGGGUGAACUACCUGCAACAUUGGCAAAGCUGACUACAUUGAUAGAUUUCAAAAUUUCAGACAACCAAUUCUCUGGAAAGAUACCUGAUUUUAUUCAGAACUGGUCAAAUAUCAGUGAGCUGUAUGCUUUCCUUUUUUAUAUUAAUUUUUCCUCGAAUUAAAUAGUUUUUGGAUUGCUUGACUUUCAAAUAGAAAUCUCAAUGGAUUACUUUGGACAGAAUGAUUCAAGGAAGUGGAUUAAGUGGGCCUAUUCCUUCUGGAAUUUCACUUUUGAAAAACUUAACUGAGUUGUAUGUAUGAUAUUAUAUAUUACUGAUAAAUCAAGGUUUGAAAUUUAAAUUUCAUACUACUUAUGUUUACUUACCUUUGAUAUUCAGGAUAAUUAGUGAUUUGAAUGGAUCUGAAUAUGCACCUUUACCACAACUUAAUAAUAUGACUUUGUUAAAAACUCUGUGAGUUGAUUCCUCUGCCUCUCAGUAAUAGAAAAGAAAGAAAGAAAAAAAAGAACGAGAGGCACUCCUAAUAAAUCUCCGUCUAUCUUAUUGUUUCACAGGGUUCUGAGGAAUUGCAAUAUCAACGGAACACUAACUCAAUAUCUUGGGAUUAUGUCAAAAUUAAAACACUUGUAAUAUGCAUGAUAUCUUUUUCAGAGACCUCAGCUUUAACAGCAUAAGUGGAACAAUUCCAAGUAUCUAUGCUACCAAUAACAGUCUGUGAUACAUGUACGAAAUUCAUCGUAGUUUCUUUGCGUAAUUUGCUUGGGAGUAUAUUUUUAAUUGCUUUUUUUGCGUAAUUUCCAAUGUUAUAGUAACGGAUAAGUCAUGAUGAAAUUUAAUUAGUUAUAUGGUUGCAAUACUGUAAGUGCUAGGAAUAUGUCUGCUAAUUAUAUUUUUUGCUGUCUAUAGACUACACAAACAUCUUUCAAAUAAAACACUUUUCUGUAUAGAAGGGUCCCACAAGACCGUUACCUAAAUCAAGCUUUGCAUGGAGAAGAGGCAAAUGGGUGUCAUUGAAGAUGACUAGCUUAUUUCCCUCGAUGUUCACCUCAAUAAAUAUUAAGCUUUGGAAAAUAAUAUCUUGAUAUUCUUUUAUGGUAGAUUUUUAAGUGGAAACCUUCUCACUGGAUUGGUGCCUUCCUGGAAACCGAAAGUUAACGAAGAUCUUUCUUACAAUAACUUCAACAUCAGACAAGGGAGUCAGAUAUGUCACCAUGAAAAAGUGAACUUGUUUUCUACCUCAUGGGCACACAAUUACAUGUAAGUUUGGUCUUAUAAAAUACUAAACACAGAUUCUAUUCCCUCUUAUCAUGUAUAAGUCUUAAUAUACUAAUCAUCGUAACUGAUUCUAUUCCGUAUAUCAUUCUCUUAGAGGAACAGUUUCGUGUUUGAGGAAAUGUCGCAAACGUGAGUUUCUUCAUUGUGACUUUUGUUCUCUAAAUUUUCUUUGGACACUACAAUCACGCUGUGUGUAUGAAACAAGAUAGUUAUAAAGAGAAUGAGUAGAGAAAAUUAAUUUUUCAAGGAAUAUGUUUUUCUUUGAUUGAUUUUCGUAGUUUCCAUAAUAUUUUCAAAUUCACUUACAUGAUCUGCUCAACCCAGCCUCAUACUCCCUUUAUAUAAAUUGUGGUGGAAAGCAAGAAACAGUCAACGAAAGAACUUAUGAUGAUGAUUCAGAUUCAUCUGGACCAACUAAAUUCCAUCACAGUCCAA